UAUUAAGUGUUCUUUUAAUUAAAAUGAUUCUUUUAAGGACUUUCUUUGCUUCGGCUUGGAAGUCCUGUUACUUGAGUAAAUUGAGUGUCAAAGCAAACAGAUAUAGCAUGCGCGUUUGAWWCUACAGCAUGGAAUACCAAAUUGAACAAGUCAGAAUUUGUUCUUUUUUCUAUUUUGGCUUAGUUACGAUUAAUAGGAGUAGCUUGGGGGCAUUUGUAUUCAGAUGUCAGAGGUGAAAUUCUUAGAUUUUCUGGAGACAAACAACUGCGAAAGCAUUUGCCUAAAAUACUUCCAUUAAUCAAGAACGAAAGUUAAGGGAGUGAAGACGAUCAGAUACCGUCGUAAUCUUAACCAUAAACUAUGCCGACUAGGCUUUGGAUGAAAGAUUUUAAAAUAAGAAUUUUCUCUUCGGAGUUUAUUCUUAGAUUGCUUCCUUCAGUGCCUUAUGAGAAAUCAAAGUCUUUGGGUUCUGGGGCGAGUAUUCGCGCAAGCGAGAAAGUUAAAAGAAUUGACGGAAGGGCACCACCAGGCGUGGAGCUUGCGGCUUAAUUUGACUCAACACGGGAAAACUCACUAGUUUAAGACAAGAGUAGGAUUGACAGAUUAAUAGCUCUUUCUUGAUUUCUUGGAUGGUGAUGCAUGGCCGUUUUUAGUUCGUGAAUAUGAUUUGUCUGGUUAAUUCCGAUAACGAACGAGAUCUUAACCUGCUAAUUAGCGGCAAAUACGAUAUAUUCUUACGUGGGACUGAAUUCGGUUGAUUUGCUUACUUUGAAGAAAAUAUUGGGAAACGUAACAGUUUCCCUUUCCCUUUUCUACUUAGUUCGCUUUUCAUACUGUUUCUUUUUCGCGUAAGAAUGUAUUUGCUUGAUGUAAAGCUUCUUAGAGGAACGAU
rnacentral:rRNA from 1 species